UAUUAAUUUAUUACUACUCAUUAUUCAUAAUAAUAAGUGAAAACAUUUCUUUCCAGUGUCCCUGGCAGGGAGUAAGGGAGCGUGUUUAGAUCGUUCUCCUUUUCUUUUUUCCCAGAAAUGAUAUAAUGAGCUUCAACCUAGAAGAGUCCUUUCCUAAGCAUGGAAGUUACUUCCCAGGAGGGACUUGGGUGCUGAAGUGCUUGGAUCUGCCUCAUUAAUCUAUGUGGUAGAGAAGUUUCUCAUUUUCCUGACUUUGCUUGGAGCCCAGGCCCAGAUACAAACUGGAGGAUAAAAGGAGGCUACUUAAAAUAACACCAGCUAUUUUUAUAAGAGUGAUAAAAUAUCUUGAGCAAGAGAAGUGGCUCUUAAAACCAGCCGCUAUGGUCGCUCCUCUUGAUGAAGAAGGUUUAUUCUCAUGACACAUUUCAUAGCUUUAUAAUCUGGGCUAUUAGAAAACAGAAAGCCCAAGGAGCAUUUAUGACAUCUUAUAAGGCUGAGGUUAUUUUAAAACCUCAUGAAACCAUGGACAAAUAUUCUUCAAAAUCUGAAAGUAUGAUUCUGGGAGUCUGGGUGUGGAGAGCCCAAGCAACGCAGUUGGAAUUUCUGCCUUUUUACCAUAAAGUGCGGUCGGCAUAGAGAGGGGUUUAGUACUCCACUAAAACUUCUGUGAGCUAUUGGUCUUUAGUUGGAUAUUUAAGGCAUUUUCCAGGUAUCUUAGUGCUAAGUCCAUUCUUCUUCUUCACUAAAACAAUUUACAAAUUCAAAAAGGAUAUUAUUUGGUGAUGCAGCCUAGCAGAGAAAGUAUUACGAUCCAUGGAAGUUAGCAUAGCUAAAAUUUGUAUUAUCUUAAGCAUGAAAUUGUAAUAAAUCAGUGAACAAAUGAAAUUGGUGUGAUAGA
rnacentral:lncRNA from 1 species